UCUUUCUCUUGGCCAACACGUGCCCCACCCAAGAUAUUUCUCUUAUCUUUUCUUGGCUAUACCAGAAGACUCUUUGUUCUUCUUUCUUUGCUCUUUUCUGUUCAUCUUCUUUCUUUGUUUUGUUCGGCAACACCUCUCUCUCACUCUCUCACCAACAUCCCUCCCUCUCUCACCGGAACCAUAUAUCUCACUCUAAGGAAGAAAUUAAAAGAUUAGUCCUAAGAUUUCAGCUUUAAAGUUUGUGGGUGUUGCCAACCCUAGAUCUGAGCUCCUUCGACUUUAAGCUCUCGAUUCCUCUACUUUCAGUUAGCAGGUUUUAUUUUGGAGCAAAGGGAGCCUUAGUCGAGUUUUGGAAUGAGCUGGUUUUAGUUUUAAUAUAUAAAUCCCAAAUUAGUAUUUAAUGUUUAGCUUUGUAGUAUUGUGUAUUUUAAGAUCUAAUGGAAGUUGUGUACCUUAAAGUAUUAAGAGAUGUAUUAUGUGAAAUUUAGAAUUUAAAUAACCGGUGGAUUGUGUUAUCGGUUGAAGUACAA